rnacentral:rRNA from 1 species
AGCCAGCAGCCGCGGUAAUACAGGGGGAGCAAGCGUUAUCCGGAAUGAUUGGGCGUAAAGCGUCUGUAGGUGGUCCAACAAGUCUAAUGUUAAAUACGAUUGGCUUAACCAACGAGAGGCGUUAGAGUACUGUUGGACUAGAGUGCGGGAGAGGUAGAGGGAAUCCCUAGCGUAACAGUGAAAUGUGUAGAUUUUAGGGAGAACACCAGCGGCGAAGGCGCUCUACUGGACCGAGACUGACACUGAGAGACGAAAGCUAGGGUAGCGAAUAGGAUUAGAUACCCUAUUAGUCCUAGCCGUAAACGAUGGAAACUAAGUGGGGCAGAUUGUUGCCCUGCUGUAGCUAACGCGUUAAGUUUCCCGCCUGGGGAGUAUGCUCGCAAGAGUGAAACUCAAAGGAAUUGACGGU